CCAUAGCUCAGAUGGUAGAGCAUUCGCCUAGACAUCGAAAGGCCCCCAGUUCAAGUCUGGGUGG
rnacentral:tRNA from 1 species